GGAGAGAUGCGAGAGCGGUCGAAUCGGACGGUCUCGAAAACCGUAGAACCUCACUGGUUCCGAGGGUUCGAAUCCCUCUCUCUCCG
rnacentral:tRNA from 1 species